UUAAAGCAAAAUUGUUGAUUCAAGGGUCU
rnacentral:piRNA from 1 species